AUUAGAGUUUGAUCAUGGCUCAGAUUGAACGCUGGCGGCAUGCCUUACACAUGCAAGUCGAACGGUAACAGGUCUUCGGAUGCUGACGAGUGGCGAACGGGUGAGUAAUACAUCGGAACGUGCCCAAUCGUGGGGGAUAGCUCGGCGAAAGCCGGAUUAAUACCGCAUACGAUCUACGGAUGAAAGCAGGGGAUCGAGACCUUGCGCGAAUGGAGCGGCCGAUGGCAGAUUAGGUAGUUGGUGGGGUAAAGGCUCACCAAGCCGACGAUCUGUAGCUGGUCUGAGAGGACGACCAGCCACACUGGGACUGAGACACGGCCCAGACUCCUACGGGAGGCAGCAGUGGGGAAUUUUGGACAAUGGGCGCAAGCCUGAUCCAGCAAUGCCGCGUGCAGGAUGAAGGCCUUCGGGUUGUAAACUGCUUUUGUACGGAACGAAAAGGCUCUGGUUAAUACCUGGGGCUCAUGACGGUACCGUAAGAAUAAGCACCGGCUAACUACGUGCCAGCAGCCGCGGUAAUACGUAGGGUGCGAGCGUUAAUCGGAAUUACUGGGCGUAAAGCGUGCGCAGGCGGUGAUGUAAGACAGUUGUGAAAUCCCCGGGCUCAACCUGGGAACUGCAUCUGUGACUGCAUCGCUGGAGUGCGGCAGAGGGGGAUGGAAUUCCGCGUGUAGCAGUGAAAUGCGUAGAUAUGCGGAGGAACACCGAUGGCGAAGGCAAUCCCCUGGGCCUGCACUGACGCUCAUGCACGAAAGCGUGGGGAGCAAACAGGAUUAGAUACCCUGGUAGUCCACGCCCUAAACGAUGUCAACUGGUUGUUGGGAAUUUGCUUUCUCAGUAACGAAGCUAACGCGUGAAGUUGACC
rnacentral:rRNA from 1 species